UACUGUAUGUAUGUAAUGUAUGUAUGUACUGUAUGUAUGUACUGUAUGUAUGUACUGUAUGUAUAUACAGGUAUGUAUGUACUGUAUGUAUGUACUGUAUGUAUAUACAGGUAUGUAUGUAUUGUAUGUAUGUACUGUAUGUAUGUACUGUAUGUAUGCACUGUAUGUAUAUACAGGUAUGUAUGUACAGGUAUGUAUGUACUGUAUGUAUGUACUGUAUGUAUGUACAGGUAUGUAUGUCAGAAGUGCAAUAUUCUUGCCAUUCCCCCUUUAGUGUUGUGUCCUGAUUCUAAAUGCACUCAGGUGCUCUUUCCUUCUGUCUAUUAGGUACAUUGUCUUAGGAGUUGAGCUUGGUGAUACUGACACAGUCUAUGCUAAUUAAUAUGAAAGUUUUGCACGUUUCCCCUUUAGCCGGCACUCUGUACUGCUGCCUGUCAUUCCAGCUACACCUGUUAACACGCCCAUGUCAUUAUGACACAGUCACACCACUACACUACUGUCUGUCACUCCAGCUACACCUGUUAACACGCCCAUGUCAUUAUGACACAGUCACACCACUACACUACUGUCUGUCACUCCAGCUACACCUGUUAACAUGAGUUGAGAUGAAGUGAAUCUAAUCGAGGUCUGUGGGCGGGAGUGUACAUAGUGUUAAGAUGAGGGCAGGGUCGUUGUUUUUUUGCAUCGCUGUCAUUUAUCAUAUGUGAUUGUCCUGGUCUGUGUUGAAGGUAUCAUUUAUCAUAUGUGAUUGUCCUGGUCUCUGUGUUGAAGGUGUCAUUUAUCAUAUGUGAUUGUCCUGGUCUCUGUGUUGAAGGUGUCAUUUAUCAUAUGUGAUUGUCCUGGUCUGUGUUGAAGGUGUCAUUUAUCAUAUGUGAUUGUCCUGGUCUGUGUUGAAGGUGUCAUUUAUCAUAUGUGAUUGUCCUGGUCUGUGUUAAAGGUGUCAUUUAUCAUAUGUGAUUGUCCUGGUCUCUGUGUUGAAGGUGUCAUUUAUCAUAUGUGAUUGUCCUGGUCUGUGUUGAAGGUGUCAUUUAUCAUAUGUGAUUGUCCUGGUCUGUGUUGAAGGUGUCAUUUAUCAUAUGUGAUUGUCCUGGUCUCUGUGUUGAAGGUGUCAUUUGUUCAAUGGGUUUAUUCGAUGUCUGUACUGUUCUGCCUCUUUCAUACCUGGUGCUAACGUGCCAGUUGUCCUGAUGUUGUCCACAUUCUGAUUGUGCCCACAUUUUUAGACGGUUGUAGAAAAUAUGCAUUGUGAUCUGAUUGGGAUCAGAUCUUACAAGUGUAAACAGGACAAGAUAAGGAUGCAUGUUAGAACCAGGUAUAAAUGGGAAAAAGCAUGGCAAACCUGUACUGAAUGCAACUGUUACCAUGUAAAUAUGUACCAAUACAUAAAUAAGCUAUUUUUUUUGCAUGCUUUUUGUACACCAAGACAUAAUCAAAUAAUUAAAAAUAUCAUAAUAAUUUAA